CCCCGGCAGAAACUACUCUGCUUCUUCGGAUUUGCAAUCCGACGUGUGACACCCCAGGACCU
rnacentral:tRNA from 1 species